rnacentral:rRNA from 1 species
CACGUAGGAGGCGAGCGUUGUCCGGAAUCAUUGGGCGUAAAGAGCGCGCAGGCGGCUUGACAAGUCGGGUGUGAAAUCCCGGGGCUCAACCCCGUGACUGCAUCCGAUACUGUCAGGCUAGAGGUAGGUAGGGGAGAUCGGAAUUCCUGGUGUAGCGGUGAAAUGCGCAGAUAUCAGGAGGAACACCGGUGGCGAAGGCGGGUCUCUGGGCCGAUAUCGACUCUGAGGAGCGAAAGCGUGGGGAGCGAACAGG